UGCUGAAGAUAGCUCUUCAAUCAGAUGCUUAA
rnacentral:piRNA from 1 species